rnacentral:rRNA from 1 species
CAGUCGCCGCGGGAAUACGUAGGUGGCAAGCGUUGUCCGGAAUUAUUGGGCGUAAAGGGCUCGCAGGCGGUUUCUUAAGUCUGAUGUGAAAGCCCCCGGCUCAACCGGGGAGGGUCAUUGGAAACUGGGAAACUUGAGUGCAGAAGAGGAGAGUGGAAUUCCACGUGUAGCGGUGAAAUGCGUAGAGAUGUGGAGGAACACCAGUGGCGAAGGCGUCUCUCUGGUCUGUAACUGACGCUGAGGAGCGAAAGCGUGGGGAGCGAACAGGAUUAGAUACCCCUGUAGUCCCUGUCUCUUAUAC